rnacentral:rRNA from 1 species
CCCUUAGAUGUUCUGGGCCGCACGCGUGCUACACUGAGUGGAUCAGCGGGUCAGGUUGCGCGAAAGUGUUUCCUAAUCUUGAAAUCCGCUCGUGAUGGGGAUUGACGGUUGCAAUUUUCUGUCAUGAACGAGGAAUACCUUGUAAGCGCGGGUCAUCAUCCCGCGCUGAAUACGUCCCUGCCCUUUGUACACACCGCCCGUCGCUCCUACCGAUUGAGUGGUCCGGUGAGGCUUUGGGAUCUGGAUGGAAAGAGCGUUUCGCUGUUUCUGCCCGGAAAACUCAGUCGAACCUUAUCAUUUAGAGGAAGGAGAAGUCGUAACA